CUUUUGGGGACUUGGCAAUGAAUAAGACUAUUUGAACUUUUAGAGCUUUCCUCAGAGAAACUCUCCAAGUGUUUAGCAGCGUACAUGGACUGAGACCCAGAAGCAGGAUGUAUCCGUCUGACUUCUCACAACUGAGGGCUGAGAGAAGGGGCUGGAGAGAGGAGGUAAACUGUAUCAGUUUCUGGCACAGAGGCUGCCAGACCUCUAAGGAUGCUGUGGAGAUGAGCGUGCUCGUGGGAGCCGGGCAGAGGAGGUUACCCAGGCAGCUCGCGGAGACGGGACGGGCUCCGGCGUUGCAGAUAACGGGAGCUCUCAGGGAUGCAGCAAAGAGAAACCUGGUGAUCUGCCUGGGGGAUGAAAGAACAGGGGACUGUGCCAGUGAGGAUGGAGAGCAGGCAUUUCUCCUUCAAGGUUAAAAAUCUGAUCGGAUGCCGGCUCUAUACACAAAAUGAUCAAAAAUCAUCAAGUGACUGCAGGGAACGCCUCACAGAACACAAAGCAAUAUCCUGGCAGACGACAGCUAAAACAAACCCUGCUGCCAGGGGAAGCAAACAGCAGGGCUGUGGGUUCCCACUGAUUUCCCCAGCCCUUAGUUGGUGGGUGGAGGGUUAUUAAACCUUUUCGCUUUGCUCUGAAGUGCUGCAAAUAGAACGGUAAGUCUAAAUAACGAGGUGCACGCUGUUCCCUUCGAUGUGUGCUGCAGAUGACAAGCAGGGACUAAAACCAAAAGGAAACUGUAAGGAUAGCUAGAGGCUAUUGCGCCCACCACCGGGCUGACUGCUGAAGCGUGCUGAGGUGUGUACCUUGUAGUUGUGUUGCACGUCCUGUGGUUGUGACUGCCUCCUGCCGUAAGUGAGGCUGUUCAAGGAUGCUCGUAGUGCCAGUGACCUCUCUUACAACACCCACUCGGAGAAAGCUACAGAAAAGGGAAGUUGUAUCUUGAGAUCGGAAUAGCAGUGCUCAGACUUUUCUUCUUGUAUCAACAGGCUGACUUUCCCUCUCUCCUGCCUUUGGUUCCACCAAGGAAGGUGGCAGGUGCAAUUGGACCAGGACCUCUUUCCUGAUAACAGCCCCUGUGGGUCAUCAAGCCCAGCCUGUGGUGACCCUUGGCAACAGAGCCUGAUGUGGAGGGUCUUCUGAAGGGGCCUGCUUCUCAUGCCUGCUGCAGAUAAAUCCUCCCUGCUCUGGUUUGAGAAUGCCCAUGUUAGAACAAGCCCCUGGUUCAAAAGCUCAGAGGACCUGCCUGUGAACCCUGGGAAAGCCGAGAGCAGCUAGCUUUCAACUGCCAGCAAACGGAGAGCGUGCAAGGGUUAUGCGGAGAGACUGCUGUUACUUCUCAUUUCUCAGACUACAUCUGAGAUGAACGAUUGCUUUGCUCAUUUACUGCAAACACUUAAACCCCUAAAGGUGCUCUUCUAGGAGUAGAAACUUCAGACAGAGGGUGCCAGCCUACAGAAACAUGUUGAGAGAAGAAAUCUAGGUACCAGCUCAUAGUCACGUAUAACACAACUAAUGCCUCAUCCAAAUUUCUAUUCACCUGCUAUGUGGUUAGUUUGUUGGACAGAAUCAUUUAUCCAGAUCUGAAAGUAACAAUUUUAAGAGCAGGCACAACUAUUUAUAAAUAAAGGACAGGUCUCUUACA
rnacentral:lncRNA from 1 species